AGUUAGAGAGCUGCUGUCCUGACCCCUGACCUGAAUGGGUAGAUGAUGCCAUUGCAGGCUUGUCAGGUGCUCAGAAAGAGCCGUGCUGAUCAAGUGGUUUAGGACUACUGUGGACUGCUGACUCUGAAAGCUUUUGAUAUUCUUCAUAUUCUGUCUUUUCAUUAUUUUGAAUGAGUAACAGAAAUUUAAUUUUCCAAUGCCAGUGUUUUAGAGAGCAGGGUGGGAGCUCUACUACUAUUAUUACUUCUAAUAGUUACUUAAUAGUUAUUAAAAUGUUUGGA